GCCCGAGUGGUGGAACUGGUAGACACAAGGGACUUAAAAUCCCUCGCCUGUUCAGGUGUGUGGGUUCGACUCCCACCUCGGGCACCA
rnacentral:tRNA from 1 species